GCCCGGUUAGCUCAAUCGGUAGAGCGUGAGACUCUUAAUCUCAAGGUUGCGGGUAGGUCUCUCCACAUGACG